rnacentral:lncRNA from 1 species
AGGAUGUCAGCGCCAUCUUGUGACGGCGAAUGUGGGGGCGGCUCCCAACAGUCACCCAUCCAUUAGUGGCUCAUGUGUUCUUAAGACAAACUCAGCAGGCUGUACCUGUCCAGAGACGGGCAGAGAUUCAUGGGGAUGAACAGAGGCAUCUGUGAGAUUGCUGACUGGCAUAGCCAUUGGGAACCUCAUCAACGGAACAGGAGAAAAUGAUGAGCCUCCAGGAUAGUUUGGAGAAUUCUACUGAACAGAGCCUAGGGGAAACCUAUAUUGUGUCCUGGUUUCCUUGUGGCCAACUAUGAAUGUGAAUCCUUGGGUCUCUGCUUCCCUGAUGGCACAAUGAAGAGGUUGACCAGAUGGCCCUGUGGUUUUUUCAUAGAUAUUGCUGGUUCCUACCAAGUUCAGCCCUUGUGUGUACCACCCCAGGCCUGUAGCAGAGUCUCUAGUGUAAGCCCUUGGGACCAGUUUCAAUAAAGUGUUUAAUACACAA